rnacentral:lncRNA from 1 species
UUUUUUUUCUUUCUAGUUUUUUGUUUUGUUUGUUUCUUCACAGUAUUCUUUUGUUUUACUGAUUUCUUUGUUUUUUCACUUGUUUUUUUAAUCUCUUCUGGGGAUUUAUUGUUUGCUCCUCUUUUCUUUCUUUUUCUAUGGUUUCUUUGUAUCUUUCUCGGUUUUUAUUGUUUUUUAUUAUUUUAUCUUAUUUUUCCUUUGAUUUUGUUUUUUCUUUUUUUCUCCAUUUACACUGUUUCCAUUCCUUUGCAUUGGUUUUCUUGGGUUUUCGUUUUUUGCUUUUCUUUUUUCUCUUUUGGCUUUCAAUGGUUUUCAUCGGUUACUUUUUGCCAACGCGUGUCCAGUUUUUUCAAUACACAAUGUACAAUUUCAGUGUACACAUGAAAUAUUUCGUUGAUACACGUUAAACAUUUUUCCCAUACACAAUAUACAUUUCUUUUUACCUAAAUACAAGUUUUCAACACUCUUUUGAAUAGAUGGUCAGCGUUUUACAAAGUCAGCAUUUUUUAUGGAAAUAAACAUUCCUUCACACAUAAUGCACAUUUUUUGUAGACAUCAGAAACAUUUUAUAUACAGGUAUUAAAUACAGAUUUAUCUUUUUAAAAUACAUAUAUCAAGAACAUGGUGUGUGUGUGUGUUUGUGUGUGUGUGUGUGUGUGUGUGUGUGUGUGUGUACUUAAAUACAUUAGGAAUAUUUUUAUAAUUUCAUCUACAUUUAAUUUAAUUUAAUUGCUUCACACAUAAUGUACUUUUUUGGUCAUAUAUAUAGAUACAUGACCAAAGAAUUCCCAGUGUAUGUUGUAAUGUCUAAUUUUUUCAUAUACAUUGAACAUUUCUUAAAUACAUUAGGAAUAUUUUUAUACACAUGUAAAAAAUUCAUAUACAUGGUAAAAAAAUUAAAAUAUUUUAUUGAUGUCUACUUUUGUCAUACACAUUGUAUAAUUUUCUAUACAGGGGAAACACAUUUUUGUAUUCUUUUAGCAUUUUUAAAACAAAUUUAUAUUUUUCAAAUACAUAGUUAAUUGCUUUCCUAAAUAUAUGUCUUGAUGUCUAUUGUUUUCAUACACAUUGUACAAUUUUGGUAUACAUGUUUCACAUUUUUUUCAUAUAUAAGAUUAAAAUUUGAUCAAAUAUAUGUUUUGAUAUCUAGUUUUUCUCGUACAAAUCAUACAUCAGAAAUAUUUUUUUACAUGUUUAACAUUUUAUUUUCAAAGGCAUGAUUAAUAUAUUUUUUAAACAUUAUGCAAAGUAACUUUUGAAAUACACGUAUUUAGAAUAUUUCCAAGUAGAUACAACAGUAAAAAAGAAAGCAAAAACGUAAACAAAAUGUGAAAAAGAAGAAAACAAAAAACAAAUACGCUAGCUAGCUAGACAUGUGGCUGUUAGCUCCAUAGACGUGCAUAUGUAUUUGCGUGCCGGGCUGGCCCAUGAUCAUUGGCACUCGAGGCGAGAUGUGUGUCCAACUCGCUAUAAGAGAAGAAUAGACUCGCCCUAGACAUCCAACCCACCUAACCCAUGGCCUGACCCAAUCCAACGCUGCUAACACAUAAGCAUGCCUACUCUCUUUCCCCCCUAAAAACCAUAAGCAAGCCCACUCUUUCACACCAAAAAGAAAUAUGUAAGCUGACUCAGGCGGGCAAAAUAACACCUUUCAAAAUUUAAGUACAUUCAUUUCUGAAAUAUACGUAUGUAAUAUUUACAAAUUAUUAACAAAUGUAAUAAAAAAUGAUGACUGGGACAGACUAAUAAAGUGUCCCCUCGAGGUGACAUUACCUUUGAUCCCAUGUCGAGCCCCUCAAUCUCAGGGAAUAUCCUAGCGCCAAAUAGUUCACUUCAGGUAAAAAGCUCAAACCCCUCGCGAGCAUGUAUCUUUGUAACAGACCAGCCCAUGAAAGGGUCAAAAUAUUUUUUUUCUUGCGGUCUAAGCAAGUUUCUUGGUUGUUCUUUGAGCCGAGUUUUUUCCUCUUUCAUUCGUCUUUCUGCUUGAUUUACCUGGUUUUGAUCAUGGUUUUUUUGUUCUUUUCCCCCUUUUCUUUUGCAUUUUCAUUUCAUUUUUUGUUCGUUUCUCUUUAAAAAAAAUUAAUACAUGAGCAUUUUUGGAAUUUGUGAGCAUUUUUUUCCAAAUUGCUGAAUAUUUCCAAAAAAAAUUGCAACAAAUCAUGAAUAUUUUUCAAAUUCGUCCACUUAUUUUAAAAAGUAUUUAUUUUGGACUCACGAAUUUGAAAAUUUGAGAAAAAAGAUUUACAAUGCAUGAAUUGUUUUAAAUUUGAGAACUUUUUUCCCAAAUUAGUGAACUAGAAAACAGUAGUCUAAUCAGGAGUAGAGAAGAUCCAAUCAAUCUUCUCUAAUAAAGGAUAUUUGUGCAUAUUACUCAAGGUGAAUGACCUACCUUUAAGAGGAAUUUCAACCAAAUCAUAGGCAAGAAUAAUGUUGUUGAACAACAUCAUGUUGUUGUGAUCCCCACUAGCUCUGUUUCGGGUCCUCUGAUAAAAUAAUAUCACCCAUAAUUAACCAGUGUUUCAUGGAAGUUGUGUCCAAUUUCAUAAUAGAAUUGUAGGCUAAUUAGUAAUAAUCCUUGGAGAUAAGCUUCCUAAUGAAUAUACCAAGUAGUAUGAUCUAGGUUGUAGGCUAAUUCAGUUGUGAUCUAGAAAUAAUCCUUGGAGAUAAGCUUCCUAAUGAAUAUACUACCAUGCCAGAUUGUAAUAAGACCUCUAGAAUUACAUUUAGAUGAAACAUGUAUAUAAUGAUUAAACCUUUUAGGGCAGCUAUUUCUUAUGUAAGAUUGAUCAAAAAUCUUGUAGUUUCAUGUAAUUCAAGAAUGCAACAUGAGCUACUUCCACUUUUAACUUGAUAUCAUUCCACCUUUCAGAUGAGUUAGUGCCUCUCACAUUCUAGUUAAGGAUAUUCUGACUUCUAUUCAUUAUAUCACUCAGGAAUAUGUAUGAUCUCAUACCAGGAAUAGCAAAAUACGAGUAGAAAUCAAUAAUGAUAUCCAAAGCUUAAGGGACAGUGAUGUAGUAGAAAAUUGUAUCAUCAUAUCUAUUACAGACCAGCAGGUACAUAGAUUCACAUGAGCUGAACAUAACGGACUUCAAUGCAAAAUAAGACCCAUGAACUAGUAGAAAAGUGCACACGAAUAGUGUCCAAUGGCAAAGGAGGUGGUGCCGAUGAACACUUAUCAAUGAUGAUUGCAUCAAAAUUGGGCCCCGAGUUAACAGUUGUGUGAGGUUUUUUCCUUCUCAUCAUUGUUUUUUGUCAUGCAUAUUCUAUGUGCGAUCUAUCUGAUUCUUGCAAGAUGUUCGGUAGCAACAACAGCAAAUGACUUGUCUUUGAAUACCAUGUCGUGUUAGCAAUUAUGUCACUCCUCCCGCAAAGAGAUUCAUUCGAAAUUGCUUUUUUCUUGCGUUUGUUAGGAAUAUUCACUGGUUUUGUGAUCUUAGCAUACUCAUCACAUGUGAUCUCUACUAAACUGGCAGAACUAGCAGCAGGGGGUGUUCUUGGACAGACUGAAUCUAUAAAAAGCACAUCUUGCUAGUACCAUGAGUGCCCUCGACAUCCACUAUAAUGCAUUUUGCACCAACUAUCUUAGUCCCAAUCAAUUUGGGGUUGAUCUCUUGAGCAUUAGAGACUAGGUUACCAAUCAGACACUUGCCUCUGAAAGAGUGUUACCCAGACCGUCCACAUCUGCUCAAUCUCUUUGCAGUUGUUUUGUGUUUCUGUCUAGUUUUACACGGUACUAAUGAUGAAAGUGUGAGUGAUGCCAAUUUCAGUGUGAUCUAGACAUAUAUUAGACGCAUGGUGAUUUGUAAUUCCAGAUUGCCACUAGACAAUUAAGGUUUUGACAUGUUCUCUUAAAAUUCAAGAUGGGUCUCUAGAUAUAAUGUUUUGCCAUUGGAACUAAAUGAAAAGGUAAAGCUCCCACCGGUUCUUCCCUAAAGAAAAAGGUUGGGAGCUUGGCUUUGGCGAUUUUGGACAAUAAAAAAAACAAGGGCACCUCUAGUGCACAUAUGGGUUAAGCCUAACUUCUACGUACUAUAUUAUUGUAUCCAUUGGAACAUACAAGACACCUUUGUCCAUGAUAAAAACUUGUCAAGGCAAUCAGUGUCGAUGGCAAACUUCUCCUCAACAUCAUACACAAUCUAGAAACUUUCUAUUGCAUUAUUCCUAAUAAUACACCAGAAACCACUAGCAAAAUUUUUGUUAGACUUCAUGCAACUUAACAAAAGAUCUUUAAGUAUAUAAAAUAUAAGCACACACAUGAACUAUAUAGUAUAUACAAUAUAAUUUAUACAAGUCACAUAAUAAUAUGUAGAGACACACUAGUUUAAUCUUUUAUAUUUCCUGUAUCUAGAUUUGAUUUACUGAGAUCAUUUUUAAGAGGCAACUUCUCCUAAAAUGUAAUAUUUGCUAUAACAUAUGCUUUCAAUUAGUAAAAAUGCAUGUCCUACUGAUAAAUGUUAGAGCCUGAAAUAAUAUCGCCAUUAAGUUAGUAAUAAUAACUAUUUGUAACUAUGAUAAGCAAAGCAAUAUAAAAAUAUAUUACCUAACCUCAAGGAUAAAUAUAUAAAAAAUUAAAAAUAUAAAAUUUUAGUAUAAAUAUUAUUCAACGAAAAUUAUGCUUAAAUCAAGAAUAUCAUAUCAAACGACUCUAUGUGUGUAACUAUAACCAAAUGCUUCAGUGUUUUGUAAUUAAGUUAUAUAUAUAAAUGUUAAACGUACAUGGAACAUAAUAAAGAUAUAUUACUUUGUCAUAAAACGAAUUUCACUAAUUAGUGUUAUAUGUCUAUACAUGCAUAAAGUAUACCAUAUUUCCUGGCCGACCGAAUUACAGAAAUGCUAUAUUUUAAAAUAGGGCCAAAUUAAAAAAUUAAAAACUAAGUGUGGAAAGUAAGGUUUUAAAAGAUCUCGCUUAUCUAUUUAUAUAUAAAAAGUACUUGAUGGGCUCACCAUAAAAAAGAGAAAAUGCUAGAAAACACCACAAUAAUUAGAUAGAUCCGUCCGCUUAAUUUGUAGAUAAAGAAAUAUAACCGUUGGAUGAAGACAAUUUUUUAUAACAUAAAUCAAUGAAAAUUUACCCACCAUUGCCAUUACAUAAAAAUACAUUUUCAAUAUAAGAAAACAAAUACACUUGCGCAUCUCUCCCAAUAACUCACGAUCACUUCCCUUACCUAAAAAAAACUCAUGAGCCCUUCCCUUUCCUCAAAAAAAAAAAAAACUCACGAGCCCUUCCUAAAAUAUUCCUCACGAGCCCUAUCGAUCCUCUCUCUAAUACCGCCGCUGCCGACUACAUCCUCCAUCAACAUUAGACUGUGGGAUGCCUUCUCUGCAAAACUUCUCCUCCUCUCCAGCGUCUCUGGUAAGUAGCAGCCCACAAAUUCCCUUAAUUUGUCCCGCUACAACAGCUAGGUGGUUGUCCUCCCCUAGGUUUAUCUUAGAUUAUGAUCAGUUUGGCCUUCCUCGCGAUCCAGCGACUUCUAGGUAAUCUGUACUCCCAUUAGCCAUCACGGAAGUAUCCGGCAAUUUCUGUGUAUGAUCUCUAUGGACCAUCGCAUGAGGAUAAUUAAUCUCACGUGUUGUUGUUCUUUUGGUUUUGUGCUAGAUCUCCAAUCGUGGUGGGCGAGCAGGGACCUUCAACCCCUUUAUGUUCCAGCCUAUGGUGCCAGCCACGUCCAUGAUUUUUGAGGAUGUACGUCUCUCUCAGUUAUUAAUUUCAGGAAUCUGUAUUCUUGCUGCUUCCAGGCUAUCAACAUGACGAGGAUAACUUCAAUAAUUUUCCUUAUCUGUUAAUUUAAUUUAAUUUCUUGAUUGAUUAUUCUUAAUUAAUCAAUAUGUCUAGCAUACUGAGAAGUGAAAAGAUUGUGGCAGUUGGAUUUCUUGACACAGCCAUGAUCUUCCGCCGCAACUUGCCGAGUUCUUUCGGGCGAUGUACGCAUGUAUUGUACAGCUCCAUUAGUUCCGAGCGGACCGUUGUUUGCAAGGAAACCAAGGUGUUUGUAAGUAGACGAUAGUAUACGCGCAUGUGCCAAAGACUUUACUUGGAUAAGCAGGCAUGCAGCUGGAUCGAUUGCCUUCAGGCUAGCUAGAACGCGCGUGAGGCUAGCUUUGCACUAGCCAUCUACACGCACGUACAGGAGAACAUGAUUUGGGCUUUGUUUACAUCUGAUUACCUAAUAAUUACAUAGAACAAUAAUUAACAAUAGUAGGCCUGAUACACCCACAUUUGUAUAUGUGUUGGACUUGAACAAAUGACAAGGUUAUAUGUGGAUGCCCGCUCUGUAGCAAUCCAAUUAACUCAUCUUUAGAAGAAGUUAUAUGAUUUACAUAUUUAAGUCAUUUGCGUAGGGAUUAUAAUGCAUUAAUAUCAGUGUGGCAUGCGCUUCUAUUAGCUAAACUAGCUGUGCAGCAUCAUGUUCUCUUCAGAGCCUCCUCUUCUUUGGUAUGUUGGAUUUUUGUUCUCCAAUAUUAUAUUGAACUUCUACUAGACUUGGGGAAUCUUUAUCCUUUACCCACAAAUUAAUCUGACAGAUGUUGGCAAGUUGAUGUUGGAUGCUAGACUCAGCGGACGCUAUGUUGAGGACGAACUGCACGCGGCUCAGUCCAACUGAUAGCAGCAAGUGGCAAGGCCAUCUCCAUGUUCGUCUAGCAUGACUGGACCACCAAUCGUCAUACUUGUGGCCUCGGAAAGCAGAGCGAAUUGGUCCAUCAAUGAACAAUUUUGCUGCAGAUCUUGGCAGGUAAUUGCUCAACUUAGUAACACCUAUACCUGAUUUCUGUACAAUGUCAUCAUAGGUGGUUUAUUGCUCUUUGUUUUCUUUUGAGAUGGUGGCGAUUUAAGAAAAGUACUUCGAACUUAGAGACUACAAAGUAUAAACUAUCAAAAAUGUUAUUCAGUACCUCCUUAAUUACUCCACCGUUAUAUUUCGUUUAUUGUGAUAUAGGAGAUGGACUAAUAUAUUAGUUCACUGACAAUAAAUAUGUGAGUGCCAUCUUUUACAUUGAAAUUAUUCGGACAUAAAGUUACAAACAUUAUUAUGGAAGAGAUAUGGUGAUGUUACAAUAAUUAAACAUAUAAUGUAUUGUACUGCUCCAUUAGUUCCGAGCGGACCGUUGUUUGCAAGGAAACCAAGGUGUUUGUAAGUAGACGAUAGUAUACGCGCAUGUGCCAAAGACUUUGCUUGGAUAAGCAGGCAUGCAGCUGGAUCGAUUGCCUUCAGGCUAGCAAGAACGCGCGUGAGGCUAGCUUUGCACUAGCCAUCUACACGCACGCACGUACAGGAGAACAUGAUUUGGGCUUUGUUUACAUCUGAUUACCUAAUAAUUACAUAGAACAAUAAUUAACAAUAGUAGGCCUGAUACACCCACAUUUGUAUAUGUGUUGGACUUGAACAAAUGACAAGGUUAUAUGUGGAUGCCCGCUCUGUAGCAAUCCAAUUAACUCAUCUUUAGAAGAAGUUAUAUGAUUUACAUAUUUAAGUCAUUUGCGUAGGGAUUAUAAUGCAUUAAUAUCAGUGUGGCAUGCGCUUCUAUUAGCUAAACUAGCUGUGCAGCAUCAUGUUCUCUUCAGAGCCUCCUCUUCUUUGGUAUGUUGGAUUUUUGUUCUCCAAUAUUAUAUUGAACUUCUACUAGACUUGGGGAAUCUUUAUCCUUUACCUACAAAUUAAUCUGAAAGAUGUUGGCAAGUUGAUGUUGGAUGCUAGACUCAGAGGACGCUAUGUUGAGGACGAACUGCACGCGGCUCAGUCCAAUUGACAGCAGCAAGUGGCAAGGCCAGCUCCACGUUCGUCUAGCAUGACUGGACCACCAAUCGUCAUACUUGUGGCCUCAGAAAGCAGGGCGAAUUGGUCCAUCAAUGAACAAUUUUGCUGCAGAUCUUGGCAGGUAAUUGCUCAACUUAGUAACAGCUAUACCUGAUUUCUGUACAAUGUCAUCAUAGGUGGUUUAUUGCUCUUUGUUUUCUUUUGAGAUGGCGGCGAUUUAAGAAGAUUACUUCGAACUUAGAGACUACAAAGUAUAAACUAUCAAAAAUGUUAUUCAAUACCUCCUUAAUUACUCCACCGUAUAUUUCAUUUAUUGUGAUAUAGGAGAUGGACUAAUAUAUUAGUUCACUGACAAUAAAUAUGUAGAGUGCCAUCUUUUACAUUGAAAUUAUUCGGACAUAAAGUUACAAACCUUAUUAUGGAAGAGCUAUUGUGAUGUCACAAUAAUUAAACAUAUCAAGAGUUCUAUCUUUGGACAGAACAUGGACAAAAAAGCUUGCAAAAUAGUGAAAUUAAGACAGAACCGAGACAAAAUGAGAGAAGCGUGCACACUAGAGGAACCGACACAGAGGGAGGGAGAACAACAAGAUGAAGACAAGAUUUUUUUGGGUUAUUCAUUUCGAGAUAGCCAUGGAAUCUGAAAUACCUGUCAUAUGACAAGAACUUUUUUUACAUAAAAAUGCAAUUCGAAGUUUAUGUUUCUAGCUAUGCUUUUCGUUACGUCUUACAUUUUCCAGUAGAAUAGACACAUGUGAAGAAGGAAUUAGUAUAUUUUAAAUCUUGAAAAAAGGACAUCAUAUUAUAUAGUAUGUAAAACACAAUAGCUUCCACGACGUUUAUUCAUUACAGCAUAUAAUCUGAAAUAUCUAAUUGGGAUUAUAAUAUUAGAUUAUUUGAGAACAAAAAGAUGUUGUCAAAACUAUGUUUGGAAAAGGCUCAUAUUUGUGAAUGUCAUCACAUUUGUUGCAAUAUUCUAUAGAGAAAUAAAAUAAUGUGUAAUGUUGGAAAUACUUUAUAAAAUUCUAGCCCGCACAUCGGGCGGGCCACUCUGCUAGUUAUAUCUAUAGUCGUAGCAAUUCAUUAUGGGGAUUUGGAAAAUGUUCGCAAAUUAUAAAUUGUUCACGAAUUCAAAAACAUUCUUAACAACAACAAAUUAUUCCUGAAUUUAAGAAAAAAUCAUGAGUUUUUAAAUAUUUCAUAAAUUGAAAUAUUGUUUGCUUACAAAAUAUGUUCACAAAUUUGAAAAGUUUGCGAAUUUAUAAAGUAUUCAAAAAUUUAAAAUAUAUAUAAAAUUCUACUUUAAUUUUAAAAUCUACUCAAGGAUUUAGAUAAAUGUUCACAAAAACUAUUUAGACGUUGAAAAUUUUAGAAAAAUAAAAAAUUUGUGAAUUAAAUGAGUUAAAGAAUUUGAAAAGCGUUCAUCGAUUUAAAAAAAUGAAUUUCAAAAAUGUUUCCUAAUUAAUAAAAUCAUCAGUUUGAAAAUGUUUGCGGAUUGAAAAAAAUAUACAAACAAAGAUAAACAGAACAGUAUUCACAUGUUUAAAGAAUGCUCAGAAAUUUUUUAAAUGGUCAUGAAUUCAAAAAUCAUGUGGGAAUUAUAAAAAAAAUAUGAAAAACUACUUGUAAUUCAGAAAUUCAGAAAUUAAAAAAACCUUUGCCAAUUAAAUAUAUGUUUGUUAAUCUUUUAAAAAUCAAAAUUAAAAAAACAUGAAUUUGUAAAAUGAUCACAAAUUGAAAAAAGAAAAAAGGAAAACAGAAAAUAUAGUGUUGAUGAAGAACCAAACAAGCCAACGGUUUGCGCAUGUGAUAUUGCUCUUUUUUAUUGAUGACCAAGGCUGGGAAGAAGAAAAAUGGGGAGUUGGUCGGUUUAUAAGGCAAAAAGGCCGAACCACCUUUGUUGUUACAAAUUGUGCGACUCUGACGGAUGCUCUGUUACCCCAACGUGUGUCUUGUAUUUUUCUCAUCCAGAGUUGAAACGUAAACUUGACAAACCAACAAUAGUUAUAGACAUGUUUAAAUGGAGCGAGAUUCCUUGUGUUACAGUAGUAUACAUCCUACCUACUCCUACCAUACGCAGACAUUUCUUCAGAUUCAGUACAUAUAUGCAUACAACCAAGUAGUACCAUCAGUCCAGUACAUAUACGCUCGCAUUUAUUCCUGGAUUAUUUCAGGAUUUCCGGCGAUGUGUAUUCAGUGGGAGGAGACGUUCCCGUCGACGACGAGGUGGUUACAGUGACUUUGUAAAUUUUAAGAUGAUAUGCCGUCUCAGUCUUUCGGAAGUGCUCAUAGAGGUAGGGUGUGCGUUUAUAAGGUGAGUGUAUUCGCGUGUACAUGAGUGCUUACAUCUGUACUAUGUUAAAAAAAAGAAACCCCACAAAAAAUGCUUGACAACAAGGCAUGUGCUACACGAUUUGUGCAUGACGUCACACGCCGUGAGGUCGCUUGCUUGUCGUGAGCAUAUAUGCAUGCAGCUUCUAUCAUUGUGAAACGAGACCCCCGCCCCACAAAACGGGCAGAAUGGUCACACGAAGGAAACGUAUACCCACCUCAUAUUGUAUACUACCGACCGUCAUACCUAUACCCGCGCGAUGCAAGAAAACACGAUCUGCCGCCUGCCGCCCGCGUACAGGAAAAGAACAGAAAGUUGCACGAUCUCGGCGCCCGCCCGGCGAUCACACUUCUCCCGAUCCAUUUUCCAAUUGGCCGAUCGCCGCCGGUGGCCGGAGGUGUGGAAGAACGCCGUCGCCUGGUUCAAACGCCCUACCAACCCCAUCCGACGCGGACGUGACCGGCCCGACGUCGCACGCCACCUCCGGCGCCACUGACCGCAGUCGCCCCUCCCCCCCACGGAUCCGGCCAAUAAUCCCGCGGCUUCCUUGUCUUCCACGUCGCCGCCAGCUAGAAUCAAGCCGGAGGGCCCCUGCCGGAAGGCCACUUUGUCGUACACCGGCGACGUCGACACCGCCGCCGAAGGUAUGCCAUGUAAACCUAGCACGAUGGAUGAAAGUGAUUUAGUUCAUUUAGUUAUUGUAAAAAAUUAUUUGAAAUCAUAUUAGUUUUCCAAUUUAUUCUUGGGCAUGAUCCACUGUACAAAUUGUAACACAAGAUAAAUUAUCAAUGUAGUGUAGUGUUGCUAGUUACAUGUGUUUACAUGGACGAAGACACGCACACUGGCCGCGCCCACCGUGGCUUAUUCGCCAACCCACCAUGGCUUAUUGGCCAACAUAUCGGGGCCUCGACUGCGAUGAGUUGUACAAGGUUGUAGAGAUGCAGCUCGGUCUGAUGCACGAUGUCAUUUCUCCAGUGUUCAUCAUCUUGGCGUUCAUGCUAUUCCACAGAUCGGAUUUGUCUGUAGGCAAUCACCACUACAACGGAGCAGAUGUUGUCAUCACUUGUUUUCUUUUAGAUGGGACUAUUACACUGGAGAUGGUAUCGGUGCUAAGAGCCAUGUUCUCAAGGUGGCCAAGUGUGAUACUAGGGAAGUUGGCAUACUACGGUGCAGGAAAAAGAAAGGCAUGUAUGGGGUUUGGUCGCCCGUGCAGUCGUGUAUGUCCGCCGGUUCAUGCUUCUACCAAGGGACUGGUCGAAAUUGUGGUGGUCAGACUCCAUGGGUCAACACAACAUGUUUGACUUGUGUGUUUGCACUAGGGUUAGCAGAAUAAGUAGAUCCGCUUGCUGGAUGGGGCUCGAGGACUGGUGGAAUACAAUGGUCUACUCAAGCUACAUCCCCAUCUCCACAACUAUUAAGAAUUUUUUUUUUUGAUAAAUGGUGGGUCUUAUUGAGAAUACAAACACAAUGAGCACACAUUCGGCCUCUGCAUAGUUAGGAUGCACACAACCAGCACGAACACACACAAAUAAACGCGCCGACAUAUUGCAAGGCAUACAAGAUCAAAGCUAUGCCUUUAGCAAAAGAAAGAAGAGAGCGAUCAGCAAACUACAAAAACAACCAUGUCCGCACCAACAAUCUUGUGACCAGGCCCGGCCCUGAGCAUGUGCAGGAGGUGCAGCCCCACAAGGCCCCUAGCUGUGAGGGGGCCCGGUCAAGUAUGUAUUUCUUUCUACAACCCAUUUCCUGAUAAAAAAUAAAGAUAAAAAGGCCAACCCAAUAGAGCCUUACACCAUCAUCCUGUAUGUGAGCCAGAAGAGGUGUUGGAGGCCGGGGUGGCGGCCCUGGUGGUGGUUCUGCGGUGCUCAUGAGCAGAGCCCAUGGCUCCGUGCUGACGGUGGCCAUGGCUGUGUGGGCGGCAUGGUCGCCGGGGUGUGGCGUUCGGUGGCGGUGAGUGUUGGCCGGGGUGAAAACCUGAUCUAUCUUCGGCGGCGAAGCUCGUUCCCUUCUUGAAGGCGUCGUCACGGCUCUCGGGUCAGGCGGUAACGAUGUUCUGGUGUCGUAACCUUCCUGAAGGCGCCGCCUUGGAGCACAUGAUUCGUCGUAUGCGGCUUCAUCUCUUCGCAAUGGCGUGUUCACGGUUGAGGACUCCGGUUGCCCUUGUAGUACUAGGGGUGGUGUUGCUGCGCUCAGCGCAUAUGUAUCCUUCCUUGGGUGUGUGUAUGUGUUGUGGUGGCCUACGUUUGUACCUGGGUUGUGGAUGGUCGUUGCGUUAUAUAUAAAGCGGGGCGAAAGCCUUUUUCGGUCUGUGAGCCAAAAAAACCACACAGGGAGCUACCCAGUUCCCAUCUAGCACAGGUGGCCAUCUCCAGACUCCAUUCACCUCAUCUUCUCCGCGACCCCCCCACCCCACCCCCCAGAAAAAUCACCAAACGAUAGCGCAUCGCCCAAUCAUUGCGUUUUUAAGUCAUUUGACCGGAAUUAAUGGAGGAGAAGAUCACAAUUUAUUGAUCCUCAUCUGAUCCCUCCUCAAUUUGCAAGGGACGAUAAAAUCCCUUUCUAUAUAUUUUUAGGUUUGAUUGUUUCUCUUCAUUCUAUUUGAUUGGAUCCAUCUUGUUUGCGAUGGUCCUAUGUAAUCCUAUUCCCCAUAGGCUUGCGAGAGAAAAGGGGCUCGCGGAAGGGGAUUGAUGGUAGCCACAUUUAGCAAGCAAGGCAACAAUGUCACAAGAUGGAUUGAUUGCUCAAGGUACUAUAUGCAUUGAGAAUGAUCUAUUGGACCAAAUAAAUGUUUAUACUAUUACAAAUGAGUUUGCAUAAAAAUAUUAAAGUGUUUUACUUAACUAAUGCACUUGUUUGUCUUGCAAGUGAUAGAAGUUGGAUCAUUGAUUCUCCAUUGGUGUGUGAGCACAGGUUGCAAUGUUUGGACGAGAUGCUUGUUCUCACAAAAAUGCAGUUGUAUUAUUAAAACAUGCAUUGUCAUCACAGGUGAGUAGUUCCAGUCCAAUUAUGUAUGUAAUGAUAGUUUAUAGAUAAUAUUUCUUCAUAUAUUCGAAAUUAAAGUUGCUACUGAACUAUAAGCAAGUGCUAUUUUCGUGUAUAGAGGCCCCAUUUCGUCACCGUGCACCAAGACCCCUAAUGUGUCAGAACCGGUCUUGCUUAGAGCCCAACUAUAUUAAAAGGAGCCCAAUUAUUGACAUAUCUGUUGAAAAUACUAUUUUCCAAUAGUUGACUCUUCUCACAGACUUAUGGUUUUCGAUCAUAUGCAAUUACAAGAUGCACCAUGCAGUAAUUGGACCUCUUUUGUUGUUGAUAAAGAAGUAGUUCAUAAAGGGAAUAAUUACCUCAGAUUUUUCACAUUGUUAUUUCAAGUCAUUCUAAUCAUUGCGUCUAUAGAAAAAUUUCCCAAGUUUUUCUAGCGCAAAAAACAAUUUUUGUAUAUGACCAGCCUAUAUUACGUUACCUGGUUUAAUUGCUUAAUUUUUUUCUGGUUUCACUUACAUGUAUAGAACAAUGUAUUAUGAACUAUUCAAUAUUUAUGGUGUGUUUUAACAAACUCAAAAUUCUCAACUAUUUAUAUGUUUCUCUCUUGAGAUGGAUGGGCGCGGCAACGCGUGCCUUCAUGUUAUAGUUAAUCAUUACAACACAUCUACUAUAUGCGAUAUUGUAUUACUAAAACCACACAAAGCAUGUAAGACACAUUUCUCCACGAUAUAAAGCGGCAAUGCCAACGUCAACGAUAGACUUCUCCUAAAACCUCAAAUACUCUAGAAUUUGAAUUUUUAUAUCUUUUUAGCAAUCUCUAUCAAGAUAUUUAGUGUUGAGAAUUUGUAAUAAGCCAUAUAAGGAUACCAAAUAUAUGCAUGCACACAUAUAUAUACGCAAUAAUGUAUGCAAGUCACCCAAUCUAUAAAUAUAUGAAUAUAUGAAUUUGUCAAUUUAUAUGUUUAUCAUAUUUUAGGUAGUUUCAAUUUAACGAAACAAUUGUUUAGGAGCAAUUAACUUCUUAAGAAAAAAAAAAUCUAACACAAUAGUUAUAGCUUACAGUUCAAAUUGGCGGAGUUCAAAUUGUAGACUUUAGAAAUGUAUGACAAAAAUACUAUAUAUUUAAUAACAUUUUUUAUUUUACGUAAACAAUAAAAAAUGUAUUAUUUAAAAUCAUAGGUUGAUAAAAAAUAUAUGAAAGUGUAAAAGUUUAAUAUAAAUAUGUGUCUAAGCCAAACGAAUUGACAAAAAUGCACUAAAAAGUACCGAAAUGUGAACAAAGGGAAAACAUUUCCAAUUGAAAAUUUUGGUAAUAGCAAAUAUAGUUCCAAGUGCAAGAGAGGAUUGCAUAUUCCAUUUAAGAACGUGGAAAGUUUCUAUGAGCAACUCCGUGACUGCAGGAACAAGAGGAAGCGCACCUGCAAAGUAUAUAUGUAUGUCAUACUGCCUUGGCUCUUGGCCCCCUGUUCUCAAUCAGUUAUAGAUCUAAGGUUCAUGAAGAUGGUGGAAGCUAUUGAUAAAAUAGAUGAACGGAACUUGGUAAAGGGCAAAUUACUGGUAAAGGGCAUCAAAGAUCCGAGAAACGGGUCGAAAAAUCUGAUUGGAUCUCCAGUGUUGAUGUAUGUAAGUAACCUACUAACCUCUAAAUGAUUCAAGUUGGCCUGUAUUUUACUUACCAAUAUUUUGUCACUUACAUGCGUUUUCACAUGUUUCUCUACAGAUUAUUUUCCUUGACAUGGUAGAUCUAGCUAAACUGCCCAAUCAUGCUCUCCCAUGGAUACCCGUUGGUGGUUUCCCACGGAUACAACAUAUAGAGGAUCACCAUUUCAAAUUCAUAAAGGCAUAUGAGGGCCAAUAUGACACUGUACCUGUGAAUGCUGACUUACAUACUUAACAUUUUUUGCCUUCAUCCAGCAUAUGUGAAAUGCUAGAUUUUUUUUGCAGAUCAAGAAACUCGAGGAUAGUUGUUAUGCAACAGAAAAGGUUUAUAACAUGGAAACAGAUUACAAACUGGACAAAGGUACUGAAGAUGAUGUUUUUGAUGAUGAGGCUGAUAAUGACAUUGGACACCUUGUAGAGGUUGAUGUAAACAGUAAAGAAAAGGGCAGUGAGCUUGACAAAUUUGAAGGCUUAAAACAGCAGGUAAGAGAAAUAAAAUAAUUGUCCUCUUCUAUAUUCUUUGUCUCUAUUUCAACGUAUUUGAAAUACUAAUAUUUUCUACUUGUUCAGCUGCAGAAUCUUCCUUUCUUCCAGAACCCAUAUAAAAAAGCAUGUGAAUUUAUAGCAGAGAGGAAAGCUGCAAUUCCGAAAGAGUUGAAGGAAUUGCUAGAGGAGUACAACUUGCCCAAUGAGGUUCUUGAAAAAGUGACAUCCCAUGCUCUGAUCGAGAAAAGGGAUUACUCCGAUAAUAUAUUAGCUUUUGUGGAACCAUUGGUUAAAUCCCUUGAUGUGAUCAAGUCAAUCGAUCAAGCUGUCAAUGAUUGCAUGGGAAUCAAGAAGAAAAAAUCGUCGAAGGGUCAUUGCAAAGUGAAUGCAAACAGUGACUUGGUCCAGUUAACCAAUGAAGGUUUCGAAAAGUGGGCCCGAUAUGAAUAUCCUACUGGGGAUGAGAACACUUGUGCUAGUUCCUGAUAUUAACAAAAGUGUUGGCAACAUUCACCUUGUUUCGUGGCGGAGCUCCCUUCCAUUGUCCAUCGAUUCUCCAGCCCUGAAACGGGGGAGACCUCUUUCUCUCUCUCUCUCNNNNNNNNNNNNNNNNNNNNNNNNNNNNNNNNNNNNNNNNNNNNNNNNNNNNNNNNNNNNNNNNNNNNNNNNNNNNNNNNNNNNNNNNNNNNNNNNNNNNNNNNNNNNNNNNNNNNNNNNNNNNNNNNNNNNNNNNNNNNNNNNNNNNNNNNNNNNNNNNNNNNNNNNNNNNNNNNNNNNNNNNNNNNNNNNNNNNNNNNNNNNNNNNNNNNNNNNNNNNNNNNNNNNNNNNNNNNNNNNNNNNNNNNNNNNNNNNNNNNNNNNNNNNNNNNNNNNNNNNNNNNNNNNNNNNNNNNNNNNNACCCUAAGACCACCAAACACACUUCUCGGUUUAUUGUUCCUAGCAAACCUUCCUCCCUCUCCCGAACCUACCGCCAUGGAUUGCAGUGCAAUUUCCUCGUUCACAGCUCACUGAUGUCCCCUCCCCUGCUCGCUGCCCUACCACCACUGCGCUCCCCUCCGUCAUCGCGAUGGCGGACAACAUGUCUGCAUCGGAGGCGGUGACCACCCAUCUCUCCAACCUCAAGUUGCCAUAAGGGAGAGGGAUGUGCCUCACCCGAGUGAAAUUAGAGGUAGAUUAUUCCUCGUCAUGGAGACCUCCGGGAUGAUGAAGAUGGCCUCCGGUGAUGAUUCCCCCCUCCGGCAGAUUACCGCAAAAAGGGUCCCGAUUGGUUUCUCGUUGAUACAGAGGUUUGCAGCGGCGGAACUUCUCAUCUAGGGUUACCACGAAGGGUUUUGGAAUAUUUGAGAAUUUAUAGGGCGAAGAGGCGGUGCGGGAGGCGACCGAGGAGGGCACCACCCACCAUGGCGCGCCUAGGCCUCCAGGCGCACCGUGGUGGGUGAUAGUCCACAAGUAUAGGGGAUCGCAACAGUUUUCGAUGGUAGAGUAUUCAACCCAAAUUUAUAGAUUUGACACAAGCGGAGCCAAAGAAUAUUUGAAGGUAUUAGCAGCUGAGUUGUCAAUUCAACCACACCUAGAGAUUAAUUAUCUAUACCAACGUGAUUAGUAGCAAAGUAGUUUGAUAGUUUUGAUAGUAGUGACAGCAGUAACAGUAACGGUAACAGUGAUAGCAGUAAUUUUGUAGCAAGUUAACAGUGAUGAUAGCAGUAGCAACUUAGCAGAAACAAUAUAAGAUACAUUCGUAGGCAUUGGAUCGGUGACUUGUUGGAUGAUAUUCAUCACGAGACAGUUAAAACCUAGGGCGAUACGGCACUAGCUCCAGUUCAUCAAUAUAAUGUAGGCAUGUAUUCCAUAAAUAGUCAUACAUGCUUAUGGAAAGAACUUGCAUGACAUCUUUUGUCCUACCCUCCCGUGGCAGCGGGGUCCAUAUUGGAAACUAAGGGAUAUUAAGGCCUCCUUUUAAUAGAGAACCGGAACAAAGCAUUAAGACAUAGUGAAUACAUGAACUCCGCAAACUACGGUCAUCACUGUGAGUGGUCCCGGCUAUUGUCACUCCGGGGUUGUCGGAUCAUAACACGUAGUAGGUGACUAUAACUUGCAAGAUCGGAUCUAGAACAUACAUAUAAUUAUGAUAACAUAAACGGUUUAGAUCUGAGUUCAUGGCACCCGGGCCCAAAGUGACAAGCAUUAAGCAUGGCAAAGUCAUAGCAACAUCAAUCUUAGAACAUAGUGGAUACGAGGGAUCAAGCCCUAACAAAACUAACUCGAUUACAUGAUGAAUCUCAUCCAAGUCCUCACCGACCAACGAGCCUACGAAGGAAUUACUCACUCCCGAUGGGGAGCAUCAUCGAAUUGGCGAUGGAGAAGGGUUGGUGAUGACGAAGGACGAAGAUCCCCCUCUCCGGAGCACCAAACGGACUCCAGAUCUGGCCUCCCGAUGAAGAACAGGAGGUGACGGCGGCUCCGUCUCGUGGAUCGUGAUAAUUCUUUCUCCUUGAUUUUUUUCUGGAAAAAUAGGAUUUUAUCGCGUCGGUUUCAGGGUCAGCGGGGCCACCAGGUGGGGACAACCCACCUGGGCGCGCCAGGAAAGGGGGCGCGCCCUGGUGGGUUGUGCCCACCCAGGGGCCUCUCUCCGGUAGGUCUUGGCUCCAAAAAUUCUUAUUUAUUAUAUAAAAAUUCCUCGUGGAGUUUCGUUCCAUUCCGAGAACUUUUAUUUCUGCACAAAAACAACACCAUGGUAGUUCUGCUGAAAACAGCGUCUAUCCGGGGUUAGUUUCAUUCAAAUCAUGCAAAUUAGAGUCCAAAACAAGAGGAAAAGCAUUAGGAAAAGUAGAUACGUUGGAGACGUAUAACCUCCCCCAAGCUUAAACUUUUGCUUGUCCUCAAGCAAUUCAGUUGAUAAACUAAAAGUGAAAAAGAAAAAACUUUUACGAACUCUUUUGCUCUUGUUUGCAUAAAUAAGCUUAAACAACACCUAGGUUUUCAGCCAACAUUAUAACUAACCAUGCCGACAAUAACUCUUAAAAAUUAUAUUAACUCAUAUCAAUGACAUAAUCAGCUAGCGAGCAAUAAUAAGAUAUCUCAAACAACAACAUGUUGUCAACACAACCAUGAUAUAAUAUGACAAUAGUGGUAUCUCGCUAGCCCUUUCUGAGACCACAAAACAUAAAUUCAAAGCACCUCCAAAGUUCAAGCAGUGACUAAACAUUGUAACUCAUGGUAGAAAAGAUCCAGUCAUGAUGCGCCCAACAUUAGCUACACACAAUGCAUAAGUCAUGACAGUUGUGCUCUCAGGUUCUAGCGCUUGUUUUAGAAGGUGAUGACACAACAUAAAAGUAAAUAGAUAGUCCCUUCACAGAGGGAAGCAGUGAUUUGCAGAGGUGCGAGAGCUCAAAUUUUAAAACAAAGGUAAAUGAUAUUUUGAGACAUGCACCCUUCUCAUUUACUUCACGACCAACAGUUAUCAAUAUCUUCCAUGCUAAAUACGCUAGUGGCGGUUCCCAAGCGAUAAAAGGAAAGGUUUUGACUCCAUUGGGAGUUUUUGUUUGAUUAUUUAAGAGAUUAACUCUUUUUCAGUUUGCAGUUUGGGACUGGGCAUCCCUAUUACCGCCCUUUUCUCGUGCGAUGGCGAGUGAAUAAACACUCGACCUGAGAAUAACCCGCUUAGCAUGGAAGAUACCGACCACCUCAUGUCGUUCCAUGAACGAUCCAGGCACACAAAAAUGAUAUUUAUUUAGAGGUGGUACAUGCAAAUUUACUUAGGACGGCAGGGUAAUACUGCAUAUAGGUAGGUAUGGUGGACUCAUCUGGAAUAACUUUGGGUUCAGGGUUUUUGAUGUACAAGCAGAAUUCUGAUGUCUAGUACGCAACCUUCUUCUUGUAGACGUUGUUGGGCCUCCAAGUGCAGAGGUUUGUAGGACAGUAGCAAAUUUCCCUCAAGUGGAUGACCUAAGGUUUAUCAAUCUGUGGGAGGCGUAGGAUGAAGAUGGUCUCUCUCAAACAACCCUGCAACCAAAUAACAAAGAGUCUCUUGUGUCCCCAACACACCCAAUACAAUGGUAAAUUGUAUAGGUGCACUAGUGAUGGUUAUACAAGUGCAAUAUGGAUGGUAGAUAUAGGUUUUUGUAAUCUGAAAAUAUAAAAACAGCAAGGUAACUAAUAAUAAAAGUGAGCACAAAUGGUAUUGCAAUGCGUUGAAACAAGGCCUAGGGUUCAUACUUUCACUAGUGCAAGUUCUCUCAACAAUAAUAACAUAAUUGGAUAAUAUAACUAUCCCUCAACAUGCAACAAAGAGUCACUCCAAAGUCGCUAAUAGCGGAGAACAAACGAAGAGAUUAUGGUAGGGUACGAAACCACCUCAAAGUUAUCCUUUCUGAUUGAUAUAUUCAAGAGUACGUAGUAAAAUAACAUGAAGCUAUUCUUUCCGUCCGAGUAGCCAUAUCGGUGAACCUUGUUAACAAAUCUCGGUGUCGUGCUUGUGUGAUUGCUUGGUCCUCGGUAGAUCGACGGAGCGUCUUGGAUUUAUUCUAACAUCUAGGGUGCUCCGUUCGCCUGACCUCCUCCCUGCUCCUUCCCAUGGACGCGGCCAGCCCCCUUUGAAAGAACAUGCGGUGCCCCCAUGUUUGGUUUUGGUAAUUGAUGACAAUCUCUAUGGACUAAUGGUUGCUUUGAGUUAUAUUUGAAGGAUUUGUCCAUAGGCAUUUCUUGAAGUCCAUGUGUUGGUUUCAAGGAGUUUAUGUGGUGACCAAGGUGUUAUUAAGGAAUUAUCCAAAGAUUGGUCAUGUGAGAGUUGAGCUUAUUGCAAGCAUGUCUUGAAGAAGAAGAUUGUGUGAUCAUUCAUGUUUACCUUCAAGACAUCAUCCAAAUGAAGAGAGUUGGAAAGAGUCAAGGUUGAUCAAGACUAAGUCAAGAGUGAAUCAAGUUGAUCAACACACAAAGCGCACAAGAUGUACCGAGGGAUCAAGCGAUCCCAUGGUAUGGUAAGCAUUGUCAAUUACGCUUUGUGUACUAACCCAUGGUCUUUGUGAGAGUUCUUUGUGGGGUUAGGUUGCGGUGUGCAAGUUCAAGUAAAGCAGGCAAGUUCAAGUAAAGCAUCGCGAAGAGAUCAAAUGCUUGAAGAUGUGCGGAAGGGUGGCUCACCCAUAGUGGAGUAUGGGGGAGCAAUCAACUAGUCUUCAUCGAGCCAACGCAAUCAAGAAAGGUGGUCCACCUUGAGGGAGUCAAGAUUGUCAUCAUCUAGCUCAAGUGGACCAUGUGCAAGGCAAAGGUUUGCUCUUGAUAGGUUUUCUAUUUUACCGGUCUCAUGAUGGUAGUUGGGAGACCGGGUUAUAGGAUCGAUUGCCGUACUAUCAAGGGGGGCUCUCGAUGAGUAGAUUGAUCGUAUCAUUCAUAGAGAGCUCAAACCACUGCAUCCUUGCAUCAUCUUUAUUGGUUCUUGUUUGGUUUUUCUCCUUGUGAGAUUUGGAGCUUUUGAUCAUCUUCAUGACAAGCUCGAGUUCAUCGAAAACGGAGUUAACAUGCAUAUUCUAUGAUGUUUUCGAUGUUGGAGGUUUUGCCGGUUCUUCUCGGUUGGAGUUUUCUCUCCUCUAUAUAUUAGGCAUACCUCCCCUGCCUCUUCUCACUAUAUUAGGCAUACCACUCGCUGUUUUGAUGCUGCUCGUCGUCUUGUGUCCAACAAGCUUGAGUUUGCUCAAUUCGGAGCUCAUAUGCAGAAGUUAUGGCAGUUCUGGUUUUCCGUGGAGUAUACUUGUUUUCGUGGAAGUGGCUUUAGGAUGGCGCCAGCGGUAGUACCGCUGGGCCGGAGCGGCAGUACCGCGUAUCGCCACAAGCGGUAGUACCGCUGUCCCACAGCGGUAGUACCGCCCAUGGCCAUAAGCGGUAGUACGUCUCCGGUUCCGCGCUGGUACCGCCUCGACUCGAGACGUGGUUUUCUCGUGUCGGGUUCAGCGGCAGUAGGAGCAGCAGUAGGAGCGGUAGUACUACUCAUGUGCGGUAGUACCGCGGCUACCACCGCCCCUAGUGCCGCUCAAUGGCCCUCCUCUCUGUUCCUUCUCCCUGUGCUCCCUGGGCCAAGCGGCAGUACCGCUGCGGCCAACGGUAGUACCGCUGGCUCCAACGGUAGUGCCGCUCAUACGGCUCAGCCUCGCCCUCUGUUUUGCUCCGCUCUCCGUGUUCUACCGCCCGGGCGAUAGUACCGCUCCCCUGAGCGGUAGUGCCGCUCGUGCGUGGACUGAGCACAUAACGGUUGGAUUUUCCCCACCUAUAAAAGGGGGUCUUCUUCCCCAAUGAACCUUAUCCUUGGAGCUCGUGUUCUUCCCCCAUUGUUGACCUUCUUCGAGCUUGCUAACUCUCAAUCCCUCCAUGGAUUCUUGCUAGUUUUUGAGGGAAAAGAGAGAGGAGAUCUAGAUCCACAUUUCCACCAAUCACUUUCUCCUCUAUGUGAGGGGAACCCCUUGGAUCUAGAUCUUGGAGUUCUUGGUGUUCUCCUUCUUGUUCUUCCUCUCAUUUUCCUCCCUAGCAUUAGUUGCUUCGGUGGGAUUUGAGAGAGAAGGACUUGGGCACUCUGUGUGCCCUUGCCAUUGCAUUUGGUGUAUCGGUUUGAGUUCCCCACGGUGAUACGUGGAAGUUACAAGUUCAGAAGCUUAUUACUCUUGGGUGCUUGGUACCCUUGAGCUUGUUCCUCUUGGGUGCUUGGGCGCCCUAGACGGUUGGUGGUGUUCGGAGCUCAAUCAUUGUGGUGUAAAGCUCCGGGCAAGCGUCGGGGUCUCCAAUUAGGUUGUGGAGAUCGCCCCGAGCAAUUUGACGGGUUCCGGUGACCGCCCCCAAGGGUUGCCAAAGUGUACGGGUUCGGUGACCGCCCCCAAGGAUUGCCAUUUGUACGGGUUCGGUGACCACCCUCAAGGGUCCCUUAGUGGAAUCACGGCAUAUUGCAUUGUGCGAGGGCGUGAGGAGAUUACGGUGGCCCUAGUGGCUUCUUGGGGAGCAUUGUGCCUCCACACUGCUCCAAAUGGAGAUUAGCAUCCGCAAGGGUGUGAACUUCGGGAUACAUCUACGUCUCUGCGUGCCUCGGUUAUCUCUUACCCGAGCCCUUUACUUAUGCACUUUACUUUGUGAUAGCCAUAUUGUUUCUUGUCAUAUAUCUUGCUAUCACCUAAGUAGUUUUUCUUGCUUAGCAUAAGUUGUUGGUGCACAUAGGUGAGCCUAGUUGUUGUAGGUUUUGUGCUUGACAAAUUAACCGCUAGGUUUAUUCCGCAUUUGUUCAAGCCUCAACCGUAAUUAUUUUAAAGCGCCUAUUCACCCCCCCCCUCUAGGCAACAUCCAUGAUCUUUCACCCUUGCCCGUCAUCACACCUCCUCGAUGCCUUGCUUCUCUGUGCCUCCGGCUGUUGAGCGAGACUGCAGCCACGAGUGCCUUCUCCAUGGAAUACCACCACUGUGGCGAGGGCAGGGCAGGUGGGGUAGUGGCCGAGAAAAGAGGAUUGUGCUGCCGCCCGAGUCGCCCGAGACACGGACGACGCGAGACAAUAGUAAUUGAGGGCACAUGAUUCGUUCAUGGAGGGGGCGAGUCGGCGACAGAGACGCGGCCGCGGACGCGCCUGCAGGGAGGAGGAUCUCGGCCUUAGGGCCCUCCUCCAGGUCGCCAUAUGGGAGGGCUCCCCGUCAUCGGGGGCCAAGCCAUCCACGACGUCGUGGGCGUUACACGAGGGGACGGCCAUCGUGCUAUAAUCCAUCCCUGCAAGCCGAGGCAAGCAAGAGCUGGGUGAGGCGGCAAAGAUGCUACACGAGCAGCUUCUUGAUACGUCUCCAACGUAUCUAUAAUUUUUUAUUGUUCCAUGCUAUUAUAUAUUCUGUUUUGGAUGUUUAAUGGGCUUAUUUAUGCACUUUUAUAUUAUUUUUGGGACUAACCUAUUAACCGGAGGCCCAGCCCAAAUUGCUGUUUUUUUGCCUAUUUCAGUGUUUUGCAGAAAAAGGAUAUCAAACGGAGUCCAAACGGAAUGAAACCUUCGGGAGCGUGAUUUUUGGAACAAACGUGAUGCAGAGGACUUGGAGUGGACGUCAAGCAAGCAACGAGGCGGCCACGAGGCAGGGGGACGCGCCUACCCCCCCCCCCCCAAGCGCGCCCUCCACCCUCGUGGGCCCCUCGUGGCUCCACCGACCUACUUCUUCCUCCUAUAUAUACCUACGUACCCCCAAACCAUUGAAGAGCACCACAAAAACCUAAUUCCACCGCCGCAACCUUCUGUACCCGUGAGAUCCCAUCUUGGGGCCUUUUCCGGCGUCCUGCCGGAGGGGGCAUCGAUCACGGAGGGCUUCUACAUCAACACCAUAGCCUCUCUGAUGAUGUGUGAUUAGUUUACCUCAGACCUUCGGGUCCAUAGUUAUUAGCUAGAAGGCUUCUUCUCUCUCUUUGGAUCUCAAUACAAAGUUAUCCUCGUUUCUCUUGGAGAUCUAUUUGAUGCAAUCUUCUUUUGCGGUGUGUUUGUCGAGAUCCGAUGAAUUGUGGGUUUAUGAUCAAGAUUAUCUAUGAACAAUAUUUGAAUCUUCUCUGAAUUCUUUUAUGUAUGAUUGGUUAUCUUUGCAAGUCUCUUCGAAUUAUCAGUUUGGUUUGGCCUACUAGAUUGAUCUUUCUUGCAAUGGGAGAAGUGCUUAGCUUUGGGUUCAAUCUUGCGGUGCUCGAUCCCAAUGACAGUAGGGGAAACGACACGUAUUGUAUUGUUGCCAUCGAGGAUAAAAAGAUGGGGUUUAUAUCAUAUUGCAUGAGUUUAUCCCUCUACAUCAUGUCAUCUUGCUUAAAGCAUUACUCUGUUCUUAUGAACUUAAUACUCUAGAUACCACUCUCGUAAGUGACCGUGAAGGGAUUAACAACCCCUUUAUCGCGUUGGUUGCGAGGUUCUUAUUUGUUUGUGUAGGUGCAAGGGACUUGAGCGUGACCUCCUACUGGAUUGAUACAUUGGUUCUCAAAAACUGAGGGAAAUACUUACGCUACUUUACUACAUCACCAUUUCCUCUUCAAGGAAAAACCAACACAGUGCUCAAGAGGUAGCACUUCUACGGUUAUGGCGUGGAGAAUUUAGACGCCGCCUGUUUGGAUGGAAGACAUUGAUCCAUUCACUGUUUCCUCCGAGUUGUAGACAAAUCAGUUUAUUUUUUUCUAGAUGUAGACUAAUCAGUUUUGGUGAGAGCCGUACGUGUCCAUGAGUGAGCCGGAAGAUCUCAUAAAAAAACUUGUUUUUUUUUCCUUCAAAUGGUCCUUUUAAAUCUCAGCCGUCAAUCUUUUUGGUUAACAUAAAACUAACGGAUAUAAAGACGUAACGGAUGGAGAACAAAGAAAACUUCCUCCCUUUAAUAUCAGGUAUAGAUACAUAUCUUGAACAUUGUUUUUGAAUCCAUGGUAACAUUUUGAAAAUAUACGCAUUGUAAAUUCUCUAAAUGAUAAUAAACAUUUUCUCAACAACACCAAAAACUAUUUUACAUUGUAUAAAGAAUUUUGUAAAUUUCACAGAAUUUUUUGGAAGCACGUUUACUUCUUUAAAUUGCCACAUACAUUUUUUAAUGGAAAUAAACAUUCUUUAACCUUCAUUUUUUUUAAAUUGCAGUUUUAAUUUCUUUAGUAAAUUUAAGUUUUUGAAAUAUAUAUACACUGCAAAUAUAAAUAAAACCAAAAACAUAAAAAAGUUCAAGUGACUUUAGCAUGGUGGCCCACUUCCUACUGGUCCGGCCCACCAUAAUGCCCUUUAGGCGAGGUAGCUGUCUGCCUCGCGGCAGGUGACACAUAGCGGGAUCUCCUAUAGGGCGCCUUAUGCGCCGUUGAUGCAACAGGCGCGCAGCACGCUGGUGGCCGGCCCACGAACACGCAGCAGUGCAGUGUAUUUAUAGCGCGAAAAAGCAAGAAAAUAUGGUUCUGGUGUGGAAUCAAACUCGCGCUCCUUACCUCCGGUGUCUGGUUGGCUAAGCACUAAGCUACUAGACACUUGUGAAAUAUUGCAGCCCGACACAUCAUAAGAAAAACUGUAGUCGCGCUAUUGAUUGCACGUAAAGUGCCAUGUAGAUUUUUGAAUUAUUCGAAAACAUUUGAGAAAAACGUGAUUUCUUUUGAAAAAAUGUGAAAAAAAUUGAAACUCCACUGAUUCAAAAAGGAAUCACGUAGAGAAAAUUUUCAUGUAUUCAGAAAAGUUCAUGAAAAUAGAAAAAAAAGUUCAUUGAUUUUCAAAACAGUUCACAAAGUCUGACAAAAGUUCAUUGAUUUUCAAAAAAGUGCAUUGAUUUUGAAGAAAAAUCAUAGAUUCUAAAAAAAGUUCAUUGAUUUAAAAAAAAAAGCUCAUUAAUCUGAAAAAAAACAUCAACUUGCAAAAAAGUGCAUUAAUUUCGGAAAAAGUUCACAAAAUCUGGAAACAAUCUUAAUUUUGAAAAAAAAUCAUCAACUUUCAAACAAAGUUCAUCGAUUUAAAAAAUUUACAAAUUUAGAAAAAAUUCAUCAUUGUUGGAAAAAAAGUUCAUCAAUUUUGAAGAAGUUCACAAUGUUUUAAAAAAAUAUCAUUGAUUUUGAAAAAAAUCACGAAUUUAGGGGAAAANNNNNNNNNNNNNNNNNNNNNNNNNNNNNNNNNNNNNNNNNNNNNNNNNNNNNNNNNNNNNNNNNNNNNNNNNNNNNNNNNNNNNNNNNNNNNNNNNNNNNNNNNNNNNNNNNNNNNNNNNNNNNNNNNNNNNNNNNNNNNNNNNNNNNNNNNNNNNNNNNNNNNNNNNNNNNNNNNNNNNNNNNNNNNNNNNNNNNNNNNNNNNNNNNNNNNNNNNNNNNNNNNNNNNNNNNNNNNNNNNNNNNNNNNNNNNNNNNNNNNNNNNNNNNNNNNNNNNNNNNNNNNNNNNNNNNNNNNNNNNNNNNNNNNNNNNNNNNNNNNNNNNNNNNNNNNNNNNNNNNNNNNNNNNNNNNNNNNNNNNNNNNNNNNNNNNNNNNNNNNNNNNNNNNNNNNNNNNNNNNNNNNNNNNNNNNNCCAACCUGUGGUUGGGUGGUUAGAGGAACAGUGGUAUCCCCAGCCCACCAGGGUUCAAGUCCUGAUGCGCUUUCAGUGGGAGAAAAACGUAUCCAUCAACGACGAGGUGCCUACGGUGACUUCGUAAAUUUCAAUAUAAUAUGCCGGCUCGGUCUCUUGAUGGUGCUCAUAGGGGUAGGGUUUGUAUGUGUGCGUUCAUAGGGGUGAGUGUAUGCGCGUAUGUAUGUAUGCUUCCGUAUGUACUGUGUAAAAAAAAAUCUCGCUUAUAGCAAGUUCUCUUUUUUUUAGGGGAAUAUAGCAAGUUCUCUUGUACACUCAGUUGAUGAAAUUUUGGCGUCGCGUUUUAACAGGGCCAACCAACUUCUUCUACUCCAUGUGUUACUCGCGGGCUAGGGGUGAGACGCUCACUCUGUAGGUUGGCUACUGAUGGUUAGGUCCGGUGUUCUUCUUCUUUCUUUCUUUUUUUUCUUUCUAGUUUUUUGUUUUCUUUGUUUCUUCACAUUAUUCUUUUGUUUUACUGAUUUCUUUGUUUUUUCACUUGUUUUUUUAUCUCUUCUGGGGAUUUACUGUUUGCUCCUCUUUUCUUUCUUUUUCUAUGGUUUCCUUGUCUCUUUCUCGGUUUUCAUUGUUUUUGUAUUAUUUUAUCUUAUUUUUCCUUUGGUUUUCUUUUUUAUUUUUUCUCCGUUUACACUGUUUGCAUUCCUAUGCAUUGGUUUUCUUGGGUUUUCUUUUUUGCUUUCCUUUUUUCUCUUUUGGCUUUCAAUGGUUUUCAUCGGCUACUUUUUUGCCAACACGUGUGUACUUUUUUCAAUACACAAUGUACAAUUUCAGUGUACACAUGAAAUAUUUUGUUGACACACGUUAAACAUUUUUCCCGUACACAAUAUACAUUUUUUUACCUAAAUACAAGUUUUCAACACUUUUUUUGAAUAGAUGGUCAGCAUUUUUACAAAGUCAGCAUUUUUAAUGGAAAUAAACAUUCCUUCACACAUAAUGUACAUUUUUUGUAUACAUCAGGAACAUUUUAUAUACAGGUAUUAAAUACAGA